GGAUGUGAGGGCGAUCUGGCUGUAACAUCUGUCACCCCAUUGAUCGCCAGGGUUGAUUCGGCUGAUCUGGCUGGCUAGGCAGGUGUCCCCUUCCUCCCUCAUCGCUCCAUGUGCAUCCCUCCCGAAGCUGCACACUCAGUCGAAGAGGACGGCCUUCCCCAAAUAGAGACGGACCGGUCUUCGGUCGAGGGUAUACGAGUAGCUGCGAUCCCCUGCUAGAACCUCCAAACAAGCUCUCAAGGGUAGUCAACAGGCAGAUUUAAAGAUACUUUCACUCUCAGAAGACUAGAAAUGGACCUACUCU
ensembl:misc_RNA 7SK 7SK RNA